UGGGGAAUAUUGCACAAUGGGCGCAAGCCUGAUGCAGCCAUGCCGCGUGUGUGAAGAAGGCCUUCGGGUUGUAAAGCACUUUCAGCGAGGAGGAAGGUGGUGGACUUAAUACGUUCAUCAAUUGACGUUACUCGCAGAAGAAGCACCGGCUAACUCCGUGCCAGCAGCCGCGGUAAUACGGAGGGUGCAAGCGUUAAUCGGAAUUACUGGGCGUAAAGCGCACGCAGGCGGUUUGUUAAGUCAGAUGUGAAAUCCCCGGGCUCAACCUGGGAACUGCAUUUGAAACUGGCAAGCUAGAGUCUCGUAGAGGGGGGUAGAAUUCCAGGUGUAGCGGUGAAAUGCGUAGAGAUCUGGAGGAAUACCGGUGGCGAAGGCGGCCCCCCUGGACGAAGACUGACGCUCAGGUGCGAAAAGCGUGGGGCAGCAAACAGGAUUAGAUACCCUGGUAGUCCACGCUGUAAACGAUGUCGAUUUGGAGGUUGUGCCCUUGAGGCGUGGCUUCCGGAGCUAACGCGUUAAAUCGACCGCCUGGGGAG
rnacentral:rRNA from 1 species